rnacentral:tRNA from 2 species
GGGGUCGUAGUCCAAAGGCAGAGACACACGGUUUAGGUCCGUGCCAGUGCGGGUUCGAAUCCCGCCGACCCUA